CACAAAAUGACUCUCGGCAACGGAUAUCUCGGCUCUUGCAUCGAUGAAGAACGCAGCGAAAUGCGAUACUUGGUGUGAAUUGCAGAAUCCCGUGAACCAUCGAGUCUUUGAACGCAAGUUGCGCCCGAAGCCAUUAGGCUGAGGGCACGCCUGCCUGGGUGUCACA
rnacentral:rRNA from 1 species